GACGAACGCUGGCGGCGUGCUUAACACAUGCAAGUCGAACGGAAAGGCCCUGCUUUUGUGGGGUGCUCGAGUGGCGAACGGGUGAGUAACACGUGAGUAACCUGCCCUUGACUUUGGGAUAACUUCAGGAAACUGGGGCUAAUACCGGAUAGGAGCUCCUGCUGCUUGGUGGGGGUUGGAAAGUUUCGGCGGUUGGGGAUGGACUCGCGGCUUAUCAGCUUGUUGGUGGGGUAGUGGCUUACCAAGGCUUUGACGGGUAGCCGGCCUGAGAGGGUGACCGGCCACAUUGGGACUGAGAUGCGGCCCAGACUCCUACGGGAGGCAGCGGUGGAGAAGAUUGCACAAUGGGCGGAAGCCUGAUGCAGCAACGCCGCGUGCGGGAUGACGGCCUUCGGGUUGUAAACCGCUUUCGCCUGUGACGAAGCGUGAGUGACGGUAAUGGGUAAAGAAGCACCGGCUAACUACGUG
rnacentral:rRNA from 1 species